rnacentral:rRNA from 1 species
GAUGAACGCUGGCGGCGUGCCUAACACAUGCAAGUCGAACGGAGUUAUUAUUAUGAAGUUUUCGGAUGGAUUAAUAAUAACUUAGUGGCGGACGGGUGAGUAACGCGUGGGUAACCUGCCUCAUACAGGGGGAUAACAGUUGGAAACGGCUGCUAAAACCGCAUAACAUUGCGAUGUCGCAUGACAAUGCAAUUAAAUAUUUAUAGGUAUGAGAUGGGCCCGCGUCUGAUUAGCUAGUUGGUGGGGUAAUGGUCUACCAAGGCGACGAUCAGUAGCCGGCUUGAGAGAGUGACCGGCCACAUUGGGACUGAGACACGGCCCAAACUCCUACGGGAGGCAGCAGUGGGAAUAUUGCACAAUGGGGGAAACCCUGAUGCAGCGACGCCGCGUGAGUGAAGAAGUAUUUCGGUAUGUAAAGCUCUAUCAGCAGGGAAGAAAAUGACGGUACCUGACUAAGAAGCCCCGGCUAACUACGUGCCAGCAGCCGCCGCAG